rnacentral:rRNA from 1 species
UACGUAGGUGGCAAGCGUUAUCCGGAAUUACUGGGCGUAAAGCGCACGCAGGCGGUCUUUUAAGUUUUGACGUGAAAGCUCUCGGCUUAACUGGGAGAGGUCGUUGAAGACUGGAAGGCUUGAGGCAAUGAGAGGGGUGUAGAAUUCCCGGUGUAGUGGUGGAAUGCGUAGAUAUCGGGGGGAAUACCAGUGGCGAAAGCGGCACCCUAGCGUUAGCCUGACGCUCAUGUGCGAAAGCGUGGGGAGCGAACGGGG